GACGAACCGUGCGAACGUUGUUCGGAAUCACUGGGCUUAAAAGGGCGCGUAGGCGGGCCAUCAAGUCCGCGGUGAAAGCCUCCAGCUUAACUGGAGAAGUGCCGCGGAUACUGGUGGCCUCGAGGGUGGUAGGGGCAUGCGGAACUUCCGGUGGAGCGGUGAAAUGCGUAGAUAUCGGAAGGAACGCCGGUGGCGAAAGCGGCGUGCUGGACCACUUCUGACGCUGAGGCGCGAAAGCCAGGGGAGCAAAGCGGG
rnacentral:rRNA from 1 species